rnacentral:rRNA from 1 species
UACGGAGGGUGCAAGCGUUGCUCGGAAUUAUUGGGCGUAAAGGGUAGGUAGGUGGUCUUAUUUGUCUGGGGUGAAAGCCUUGAGCUUAACUCGAGAAGUGCCCCAGAAACGGUGAGACUAGAGUCCGGAAGAGGAGAGUGGAAUUCCUGGUGUAGCGGUGAAAUGCGCAGAUAUCAGGAAGAACACCUAUGGCGAAGGCAGCUCUCUGGGACGGUACUGACGCUGAGACGCGAAAGCGUGGGGAGCGAACAGG